AUGACUCGGCGAGGCGGCUCACGGCGUCGGCGGGGGCGUGGCCGACAUCCUUCCGCCAGCAAGGCGGCGUGCGGGUCCCGCAGGACGGCGUCACAGCCGCACUCGCGCCUCAAGCGCCCGGGCCACGUGCACAACGGCAGGCGGCGUCCAGGGCGGGAGAGCGGCCCGGGCACCGCGCGGCUCGGCGUGCGCAGGCGCGGAACGGCCACCGAACCCCGCCCAGCCGGCCGUCGCGAGCCGCCCGCGCAGGGCCCCAGAGGCGCCCGUUCCGGGUCUAACCGCCGCGCCGGAAGUGCGCCCACCCUGCGGGACGUGUAUCCCCGCGGACACGGGGCUGCGAACACCCGCAGCAUGGACAACGGGGAAGAGCAGAGACCCCGAGCGGUGGACAGCACACACACCCGUUACCGCCCUAUUCACACAACCCUCUCUGAGGGCCGCUCUGCCACGCCCCGCCCCGCCCCGCCCCAGCCGCGAGGCUGUUUGGGCCCCGCCCCCGCGCUCGCGCAUGCGCGUCUCCGGAGCGGACUGCCGCAACGGACGCGCGGAGCCGUUGCGGGAAGAUGGUACGCAGGCCCCGCUCCCAGGCGGCGUGCGCAUGCGUGCGGGCGCGGGGUGCGCUGGGCCGGUCCCAGGAGGUCACGGGAGAGGAGUGCGGUGGAGCCCCUGGCGCGCUGGGCCGUGCUGCCUCGCCGCGAGCCCCCGCGGCCGUCGGUCCUCAGAUCAGCGCGCGCGAGCACGUCUGAUCGUGCGACGUGCGAGCCGGCCCCUGGAGACGGCCCUCGUGGCGGGCCGGGAGGUCCUCCCUGCACGAGGUCCGCAGGCGGGCGGGCGCUCGCCCCCUCCCGGCUGGCCGCCGGGGCUCUGAGCGCCCGUCCGGACGUGGGCCCUUCCCGGCCGGCGGAGGGUUCCACUGAAGAGUGUCCCUGGGGACGCCCUGAGACGCCUUCUCCUACGCUCUUUCCAAACGCGCUGGCGGCGCUGGAGUCUUUUCCUCAGUUUAUUUAA
rnacentral:lncRNA from 1 species